AACAUACCAAUUGUUGCCUCGGCGGAUCAGCCCGCUCCCGGUAAAACGGGACGGCCCGCCAGAGGACCCCUAAACUCUGUUUCUAUAUGUAACUUCUGAGUAAAACCAUAAAUAAAUCAAAACUUUCAACAACGGAUCUCUUGGUUCUGGCAUCGAUGAAGAACGCAGCAAAAUGCGAUAAGUAAUGUGAAUUGCAGAAUUCAGUGAAUCAUCGAAUCUUUGAACGCACAUUGCGCCCGCCAGUAUUCUGGCGGGCAUGCCUGUUCGAGCGUCAUUUCAACCCUCAAGCCCCCGGGUUUGGUGUUGGGGAUCGGCGAGCCUCACGGCAAGCCGGCCCCGAAAUACAGUGGCGGUCUCGCUGCAGCUUCCAUUGCGUAGUAGUAAAACCCUCGCAACUGGUACGCGGCGCGGCCAAGCCGUUAAACCCCCAACUUCUGAAUGUUGACCUCGGAUCAGGUAGGAAUACCCGCUGAACUUAAGCAUA
rnacentral:rRNA from 1 species